GUAAUCAGCAGGAAGACUGUACUAAAAACACAAGAAUCAAGCAUCUGACAGCUGGAAGAUACCUCCUAACACUUACUCUCGCUGGGCUCACAGGGGGGAGAUGGCUGUCCAGGAAGCACCUCUGGCAGGGGCAGGCGGUGUUUGCAGAGGCUCCAUCUGUCUGCGGUUUCCUAACAAACCACAGAGACUGCCUCUGUGCAUGAUGCUGCCCCACCAGGAUGCUUGCUGCCUCCCGUUGGACCUUUGCCUCUGCCACCAUCGUAAAAGGCUAUGCAGCCUCCCCGCCUUUGUAUGUUCCCGCUGGCUUCAUGCUGUCAGGCAGAAGCAUGUGAUUAGCAGGCUGUGAAGUGUGGAGAGCGAAAGCCUGCUCUCUUUUGGCCCCCGUGCCAGCAGGUGGGCCAUGUUCUCACCUAUUUUGGGAUUCUUCUAAAACAGGAAAAAAAUCUUUGGACACUGAAUGGUCAGAAAAACAACAGGUGUCCAUGACGGCUCUAAAUAUAGCGUUCUCAAGCAAGCAAAACACGGAGCUUUGUCCCAUCAACAAUGCCAGGGUCGGGCAAUGAGUCAGACAACUGACAGGCAAGAAUAACGGGAGACAGACACUUUAAAAAAAGGGUUGUGUCCUAGCUUUUCUAGGCUGGAGCCUGUCACCUGCUGGAGUCUGUGUUGUGCUGUUCUAGUCUGGAUGGCCACCAGGUCCCACCUGACGACUGCUUUGAACAAGGGCAACGCAGGCUCACUCAACACGCCCACUCUACCUGCCACUGGGCCACCUUGGCAUUUCCUGUCACCAAAAGACACGCCCUACAUCUAAGGACUCAGCUAAAGAUCCGAGAAUCAAGAAUCGUCUUAAGAUUUACUUCAUUGGCAAUCUCUGAACACCUUGUGACUCCGUGUACUUCCUGGGCCCCUCCGCUCCGCCGGAGCCCCGCUUCUGUCUCCGUGGAUGGCUCCUCCGCUCCGCCAGAGCCCCGCUUCUGUCUCCGUGGACGGCUCCUCUGCCCGCUGCUCUAUUUGUUUGUUUGUUUGGUUUUGAUUUUUCAGUUUUUGGACAUAGAUUUCUCUAUAUAACCCUGACU